ACGAACGCUGGCGGCGUGCCUCAUACAUGCAAGUAGAACGCUGAAGGAGGAGCUUGCUUCUCUGGAUGAGUUGCGAACGGGUGAGUAACGCGUAGGUAACCUGCCUGGUAGCGGGGGAUAACUAUUGGAAACGAUAGCUAAUACCGCAUAAGAGUAGAUGUUGCAUGACAUUUGCUUAAAAGGUGCAAUUGCAUCACUACCAGAUGGACCUGCGUUGUAUUAGCUAGUUGGUGGGGUAACGGCUCACCAAGGCGACGAUACAUAGCCGACCUGAGAGGGUGAUCGGCCACACUGGGACUGAGACACGGCCCAGACUCCUACGGGAGGCAGCAGUAGGGAAUCUUCGGCAAUGGACGGAAGUCUGACCGAGCAACGCCGCGUGAGUGAAGAAGGUUUUCGGAUCGUAAAGCUCUGUUGUAAGAGAAGAACGAGUGUGAGAGUGGAAAGUUCACACUGUGACGGUAUCUUACCAGAAAGGGACGGCUAACUACGUG
rnacentral:rRNA from 1 species